rnacentral:lncRNA from 1 species
AUGAGUUCUUUAGUUGAUUGUCAACUCUAAUUGUUAAACCUGUUGACUGUUGUUCUUUGUCCCUUUGGUCGUAACCAUAUUCACUGUCCUUUGUUAAUUGAUAAAUUCAUAAUUGCACAACCUUUACUCUCUUUACAAAGAUUUUUUUGUUAAUCAUAGUUUUGAUCAUAGCCUAGUGAUGGUUUCACUUUCUAAUGAAAUUACUUGUUUAAGUCUUUGUGGUAAAUUCUUGGAGGAAUCUACUGAUUAAUUUUAUGUGAAAUAUAGUAUUAUUGAUGUAGGACUAAACUUUUUACAUCUUAAACUGCUCCAAAUUGAAAGCUAAUGGAGUGGAAUGGAUGAUGACUCAAGUUUGUGAAUAUUUUUUUAGUAUUUAUAAGAGUGUCUCUGCAUCUUUGCUCUGCUUUUUAUAAAUGCGUUAAAGAUACAAAUGAUAUGCAGUUAAAAUGCUGUAUAUUUGAUGGUUGUUUGAAAUUGUGAAUAUUUUUAUGUAAUGUUAGAUAAAU